ACAUUACCUAUAUAGGAGCGAACGAGGGGAAUUGAAACAUCUUAGUACCCUCAGGAAAAGAAAUCAAUAGAGAUUGCGUCAGUAGCGGCGAGCGAAAGCGCAAGAGGGCAAACCCAGUGCUUGCACUGGGGGUUGUAGGACUGCAAUGUGCAAGAGGUAAGUUUAGCAGAACAUUCUGGAAAGUAUAACCAUAGAGGGUGAUAGUCCCGUAUGCGAAAAACAAACCUUAGCUAGCAGUAUCCUGAGUAGGGCGGGACACGAGGAAUCCUGUCUGAAUCCGGGUCGACCACGAUCCAACCCUAAAUACUAAUACCAGAUCGAUAGUGCACAAGUACCGUGAGGGAAAGGUGAAAAGAACUGAGGUGAUCAGAGUGAAAUAGAACCUGAAACCAUUUGCUUACAAUCAUUCAGAGCCCUAUGUAGCAAUACAGGGUGAUGGACUGCCUUUUGCAUAAUGAGCCUGCGAGUUGUGGUGUCUGGCAAGGUUAAGCAAACGCGAAGCCGUAGCGAAAGCGAGUCUGAAUAGGGCGCUUAGUCAGAUGCUGCAGACCCGAAACGAAGUGAUCUAUCCAUGAGCAAGUUGAAGCUAGUGUAAGAACUAGUGGAGGACUGAACCCAUAGGCGUUGAAAAGCCCCGGGAUGACUUGUGGAUAGGGGUGAAAGGCCAAUCAAACUUCGUGAUAGCUGGUUCUCUCCGAAAUAUAUUUAGGUAUAGCGUUGUGUCGUAAUAUAAGGGGGUAGAGCACUGAAUGGGCUAGGGCAUACACCAAUGUACCAAACCCUAUCAAACUCCGAAUACCUUAUAUGUAAUCACAGCAGUCAGGCGGCGAGUGAUAAAAUCCGUCGUCAAGAGGGAAACAACCCAGACUACCAGCUAAGGUCCCUAAAUCUUACUUAAGUGGAAAACGAUGUGAAGUUACUUAAACAACCAGGAGGUUGGCUUAGAAGCAGCCAUCCUUUAAAGAAAGCGUAAUAGCUCACUGGUCUAGUGAUUUUGCGCGGAAAAUAUAACGGGGCUAAAGU
rnacentral:rRNA from 1 species